GCAACCAUUUCCGCCGCCAGUGGCAAAGUAAUGCUGUUCGCGUCUCGAAAGGAGAAGGUCGUGGAAAAAGACCUCCGCGUGUGUCGCACGAUUUUGGACCGCACGUGCGGAUUCCUCGCGGGAGAUUGUUGGGCCUUCGUUCGGCGGCUGAAACCGCGCAAUCGUCGUGAGUUGCGCAUCGGUGGGAGCUCGGCGGCCACUCGAACUGGACGGUUUUGUCCCUGAAGACGCCGCAAAGUAAGCCACGUUUUGACGAUCAGACUCGCCCGGAGAAUAAGUCAUCGGUCAAAGCGCGCCAACUCCGAACCAAUCUCUGCAAUCCACCCGAAGGGAGGUCCCGCCGGAAGAGGAAUCAAGCAGUGGUCGCUGUGCCAAUCUCGCUGUGGGAAUCUGUGUCGCGCAAGACCCAUCUCCGAAGAACGCCGCCAAAAGCAAGACCUGAAAACAUCCACACGGUGGCAGCCAGUCCGUGUGCAACAAAAGGAGGAAGCGCAACACGAACACGCACACACCAUCAACCAGAACGCAAAAGGCCCCGGAAAAGGGGCCUUUUCUGUGGGCGCUCGACGUCGGCUGCUGGAGGCUGGUGCACGAUUGCUGGCGCGCGACGGAACAUCCCGUCGGUAGGCGGACGGUGCGGUACGAGUCGCCGUUCCAACACGGCGUACGUGCGUCAUUGAGGGCGCUGGGCGAGACAACGCUAGGCGUUGUUCGCGAGGGCGCAGAUGAGGAGCAGCCUGCCAAGCUGUGGUCGCACGUGGGCAUGCUGUAACGUGUGGCGGUCAAGGGUGAACUCUCGAGCCGGCGGGCACGCCAACGGCGGAAUGCGGGUUGCGGCAAGAGUGAGUGCUAGAAAUUAAGCGGGUGCGCACCCAGAAGAAUAAGAGCCCAAAGGGCGAGAAGAAGAAGCACACGCGCGCGAAGCGCCAUCUUUGCGCAUGUUUCGCUAGGCUUAGGCACACACACACACACACGCACAUUUGUACC